AGAGUUUGAUCCUGGCUCAGGAUGAACGCUAGCUACAGGCUUAACACAUGCAAGUCGAGGGGCAGCGAUGGUCUUAGCUUGCUAAGGCCGAUGGCGACCGGCGCACGGGUGAGUAACACGUAUCCAACCUGCCGGUCUACUCUUGGACAGCCUUCUGAAAGGAACGAUUAAUACAAGAUGGCAUCAUUGAGUUACACAUGUUCACAGUGAUUAAAGGUAUUCCGGUAGACGAUGGGGAUGG
rnacentral:rRNA from 1 species